UCCUUUUUUCCCUUCUCACCUGAGUCCAUCUGGUUGGCGGUUUCUUGAAGCAAGAUCUCACACCAUCACAAAUACAAUCACAUGCAUUGAGGAGAUACAGGGCCACAGUGAUUCACUGCAGCUGGGCAAGCUCUUCUGGAUGCUCAGACCUGAUGUCUCACCUGUGCAAGUUGGUGUAUAUCCACGGACCCAUUGGCACCACGUUGAUUUCCAUCCGUUGAGGCUCUGACUGCCCCUUCCCCUCCCUUUGCCCUGUCAAUUGCCUGAGGGUUUGGGUACAGCUCUGAAAUACUGGAGCAAAGGGAGUGAAUGUGGAGCUUUGGAGCUCCGUAUCCCAGUGUGGCCCACAGCAUGCUGAGGAGAUGCCGGUCCUUCCCUUGUCAUCCCCAAGGAAGGGCUGUGGGCCCUAGCUCUCCACGCUGGCUGCCCUAAACAUGCUGAUCCUGCACCAUUUCCCUUCAUGUUAGCCCUACUUUCACACCAAGGGAUGCCUUCCCUUUCUGCCCACAGGUCUCAGGGAUCACUGCUGUGCAGCUCUGCUAGGAGCAGCGCUCUGCUUGGGCUGCACGCUCUGGUCUCAGCCAUGCAAGCCAUCUCUGGUUGCUUCUGGGCUGACCCUGCAUUGCUGGCAUCAGGAAAAUGUUUGCUUUCUUCCCAUUAUGUCUUUACCAUGCCUGGAGCAUGCAGUCUGUACAACACUUGCCAGGUCUGUUGGCAUCACUGCUUUCACAUGGGGAGGGGAUGGUGGAAUGAGCAGAGUGAAUGUGAAUGAAAUCCCAACCCACAGGGCUCAAUGGGAAUUGUUUUGGGGGAUCCUGCUAAGCACCAGUACAAAAUCCACUGCAAAAGGUACAUUUAAACCCUCUGCAGCUCCAGCAGCCAGCUGAGCAAUCACUGCGUGAGGGUUCGAACGGGAGACCUGCAGGGCUGGCUCCUUCGUGGCAACAAAAGCCACUGGGCAUCCUGUGGGUGCAGUGAGGGGACGUCGCUCUCGCUGCAUCCCCAGCCAAGGUUUUGUUCUCUGGACUGAAGGAUGGGUAUCAGUGCUCACGUCCCAGGGCAGGGCUGUGCCCCAGGGCUGGCAGAUGGCACUGAGGACGCCUUGGAAGCUCUCAGCAGCUCGCACACUGAGGGCCAUUGGCAGCGCGUUUUCCUACUGCUCCCUUCUGCUGUCUCUCCUCUCUGUUUGUGUUGUUCAUUUCCUUACGGCAGCUUUAUGAAUUUUGUUUUUAUGUUUUACUUUUGUCCUGCUGUGUCGCUGCCUUAUUUUCUUCCCUGUGCCAUCAGCAGCUUCUCAUUUCAGGGUGCUGUGUGGGUCCGGGUGCUGCUGGGUGAGGUCCAGGUGAGCAGAGGGCAGCAGCUCAGCCUGGUCCCCCCGAGCCCCGUCCCUCUCCCUGGUUCCAUGCGUUCUGCUCUCUGACCGCUGCCGACCCGCUGUGACCCAGGUUUGCCACCUUUAUGUUGCAGGAUUGAGCUGACCUCUGAUCUCACAUCUCUGUAGCAAGUACCUUAGGUCCUCGGCCACAAACAUUCUUGCAAAUCUGUUUGAACUGAAGACUAUAUGAAGUUGUCCCUAGCCUCCUCCUAAAGAAAUCCCUUGGCAUCUUUAAAGGCUUGAGAGAAAUACCAAAACCAACCAAACACACCCAUAAGAGAAUCCAUAAGCCCUCAAAACUUGGCAUCCCUCUUGCUCUGAAGUUGAGUUCUUCAAAAACUCCUGUGGUAUCAAGUUUAAGGAGAUCCUUGUGUGUCUCCAUGGACUGGGGCUGGGCCCAAUGAGUGACUUGAGUUGUGUUUGGGGGGGCUGGGAUAUCCUACAUUAACCUUUCUCCCUCUCCUUCAAACAGAACCCAAAUUGGAUACCAAAUUUGCAGCGAGCCUAUUAGUUUUGUUCACCACCAUGUAUUAGCCCUGCCAUGAAGUCAGUGUUGUUUCUUUAGAGGGGUGGGUGAACUGUAGCUCUUCUCCCAGACUGGCCUGGAUCUUGUACCAGACUACCAAGUUGUUUCUUCUUAGAGCCAAAUCCUUCUGUGCUGCUGGGGAGUGGGAACUGACUGAUUUCAAACACUGUGUGACAUUACUUUAUUCCAAAGGGUGGAGGUACGAAGUGGGAUCAAAGUAAGGGAGAGAAGAUGUUAGCUGACUUAAAUCUCACUUCUGUAGUUAUUUUAGCGAAGAGCUGAUCUUGCAGGUAGAUGGAAGACUGGAGGAGUGAUGAAGGUUGAUAGCUUAGCUGCUCAGUUUGUGGUGAAGGCUUCGGAGACCACACUUUGACUGUUGUUAUCUGGAUUCACGCUUCCCCGCUCUGUUCCCAAGAGAUGAACCCAUGGAGGUAGCUAUGGCACCGUGGGCUCCCACAGCUCAGCAUGAGAUUAGGGGGGUCCUGGAAGAGACGCCCUCCCCAUUUCUCUGCCCGCUUGCUAUCCCAUUGCCCUCUUUUCUUGCGAGCCCAGUGGCUUGUCCACAGGAGCCACAUCUCAGCACCUCUCCUCAGCUCCAUCAGGGGAUGAAUUUGGCUAGGUGCACAUGCCUGCUCCAGGCACAGCAGGCUGCGAAUGAAAGCCAGCUGGUCUGUGAGAGUGAGAAGAGGGCCCAAGUCCUCUAGUGAUGUUGCAGAAGCACCAGGCUGGCUGGGAUCGCGUCCUUCAAUUCUUCUCUCACUGCAGGACAGCAGCCUCUUGGCUAAAGCUGCAAACAUAUCAGAAAACCAACAGGCUGCUUUUUCUAUUUUUUUUCUUUCCUUUUUAAUUCCUAUGCAGACGAUACUUGAAACCUUGUACACAGUUGUCCUUUCCAGCGCCUGGGGUUGGCAAAUUCUUAAUAAAAGGGCUCGUUUAAAGAACAGCAGGAGGCUUCAGCUUAGAAGAGGCUGGGCUGCCCCUUCCCAGCCAACAACUGCAAGCGUCUUCAGUGGUUUGCAUACGAAUUUAGGCACACCCUCUGCUUCAACACCCACUAGUACAGCUGCUGUCUCCCUUUGGUGCUGGCUAGCUGACUCUGUGUCCCAAGCACCCAACUAUGCAAAGAAUGCCUUAUAUACAUUGUGUUUGUUACAUGGCAAUACGUACAUCCAGCAAAGUCUAUAGCUGAGUCCAGAUUUUUGCUAGUGGCAGCGAGUCAAACUAUUUCUUCAACUCAAGUGGCUGUCUGGGUAUUUUUUACUUUUGUUUUGUUUGUUUGUUUUGUAUCUGAUGGUGGCUCUUAUAUGAAGGACUGUCAUUCUAGUGGCUUGAAUCUGUAAAAAUUGCGUUUGUUUGGUCCAAUAAACCUUUGAAUAGUUUA